rnacentral:rRNA from 1 species
GACGAACGCUGGCGGCAGGCCUAACACAUGCAAGUCGAACGGACCUUUCGGGGUUAGCGGCGGACGGGUGAGUAACACGUGGGAAUAUGCCCUUCUGUACGGAAUAAUUCAGGGAAACUUGUGGUAAUACCGUAUGCGCCCUUCGGGGGAAAGAUUUAUCGCGUUAGGAUCGGCCCGCGUUGGAUUAGGUAGUUGGUGGGGUAAUGGCCUACCAAGGCGACGAUCCAUAGCUGGUUUGAGAGGAUGAUCAUCCACACUGGGACUGAGACACGGCCCAGACUCCUACGGGAGGCAGCAGUGGGGAAUCUUAGGCAAUGGGGGCAAGCCUGACGUAGCCAUGCCGCGUGAGUGAUGAAGGCCUUAGGAUUGUAAAGCUCUUUCAGCUGGGACGAUAAUGACGGUACCCGGAGAAGAAGCCCCGGCUAACUCCGUG